UAACAUUCUCUGAAGACUGACGUGCAAGAUAACACUUUGGAUAACUUCUUCAAUACUCUGCCACCAAUGCAUUUGCUUAGGAGAGAAGUGAAGGGUACGUCUCCUGUCCAUCCAGAAAUAACAGGAAAUUAGUGUGGGAGCACAAAGGAACCAAGGUGUGAGAAGAUACAGUGGUAAAAGGACAUAUUCUGACUUGAACCAUUUCACAGAUGGGAAAACUGAGGCAUAGAGAGAUGACAGCCCAAAUCGACUCUACUGUGUGAGAGUGGAGGACUGGCCUGGAUGGGAAUUGCCUGAAGACAGCAAUAGAACACCCUCUUCCAGAGCUCCCACAAGAAUUGUCUCCCGGUGCCAGCAUCCUACAAUCUGUCUAUGCCAAAGCACCUUGUCCUCCCCUUCUGAUGGGAACACUAGGAACUUGCCUGCCCUCACUAGACAGAGCACUGGGUUAGCCAUUCCAGUUAAAGGUUAACUCUGAGAGCCCUUCAGUUUUGCAAUCCUAUUCUCUGAGGGAAAUAAUUUGUUUUACUGCACAGAAGCCUCAGUUCAC
rnacentral:lncRNA from 1 species